rnacentral:tmRNA from 1 species
GGGGCUGCACUGGUUUCGACAUGGGUUCGGACGCGUGGCAGGGCAUGUCGAGGUUCUGAUCCUCGUUAAUCUUCGGAAAAAAAACUAACUGCAAACGACGAACGUUUCGCACUCGCCGCUUAAUCCGGUGAGCCUUGCAACAGUUGGCCGAUAGGCUGGGUUAGGGUGAUGAGGGGGUUAAACCCCUCAAAGUCCUAGCUGCAAGGUAAAACAUAUGGGCUGGCA